rnacentral:rRNA from 1 species
UACGUAGGGUGCAAGCGUUGUCCGGAAUUAUUGGGCGUAAAGAGCUCGUAGGCGGUUCGUCACGUCGGCUGUGAAAACCUGAGGCUCAACCUCAGGCCUGCAGUCGAUACGGGCGGACUCGAGUUCGGCAGGGGAGACUGGAAUUCCUGGUGUAGCGGUGAAAUGCGCAGAUAUCAGGAAGAACACCCGUGGCGAAGGCGGCUCUCUGGGACGGUACUGACGCUGAGACGCGAAAGCGUGGGGAGCAAACAGG